AUGACACAUAAUAGUAUUCAAAGUAGCAGCAUAGACUCUUGUCUUGAACUUACUCACUUUGCUCCUACCAAUCCACUUAAUGAUAUCUUGCUGAUUUGUGGCUUCCAGAUUCCAAUUAAUCUCGAAAAGUUUCCAACCUUGCUUUCGAUAGCACAAGUGUUGACAGUGAUAUCGCAGAAGCAGAAAGCGGCUCUUAGAGAGGUUUACAAGAAUAAGAAGUAUUUGCCACUUGAUCUUCGUACCAAGAAACCCGUGCCAUUCGAAGACGCCUUACCAAACAUCAGGCAUCAUUGA